AUAAAAGUAUAAUAACUCCCUUUUGGUACUUGUAUUGUACUUUUUAAGAAGUAAAAGUUUAAUUUAAUCUUAGGUUUAUACUAAACUGCCAAAUUCCGGGGAAGCCCUAAAGACAAUAAUACCACCUUAUAUAUAGUGAAAAGUCUAAUAAUAAGUACCAUUACUAAUCAUAAUGGGUGAGGUAAUAAGUUAUUGUAUUAAGGAAACUUAAAUGGGUAAUCGCGGAACUAACCUAUAUUAAUCUUUUAAUAUGGAAAAGCGCAUCGAGUAGAUGGUAGUUGUUAUAGAAGAAAGAGAUAGGUCUGAAAUAUUUCGACUCUAGCUUCUCUUCUGUAAUUAAGGUGUACUCAGUCUUCCUUAGAAAUAAGGAA
rnacentral:ncRNA from 1 species